CCUACGGGCGGCAGCAGUAGGGAAUCUUCGACAAUGGACGAAAGCCUGAUGGAGCAACGCCGCGUGAGUGAAGAAGGUUUUCGGCUCGUAAAACUCUGUUGUUGGAGAAGAACAAGCGUGAGAGUAACUGUUCACGCCGUGACGGUAUCUAACCAGAAAGUCACGGCUAACUACGUGCCAGCAGCCGCGGUAAUACGUAGGUGGCAAGCGUUAUCCGGAUUUAUUGGGCGUAAAGCGAGCGCAGGCGGUUUCUUAAGUCUGAUGUGAAAGCCGUCGGCUUAACCGAAGAGGUGCAUUGGAAACUGGGCGACUUGAGUGCAGAAGAGGACAGUGGAACUCCAUGUGUAGCGGUGGAAUGCGUAGAUAUAUGGAAGAACACCAGUGGCGAAGGCGGCUCUCUGGUCUGUAACUGACGCUGAGGCUCGAAAGCGUGGGGAGCGAACAGGAUUAGAUACCCCUGUAGUC
rnacentral:rRNA from 1 species